rnacentral:rRNA from 1 species
CAGCCGCCGCGGUAAUACGUAGGGUGCGAGCGUUAAUCGGAAUUACUGGGCGUAAAGCGUGCGCAGGCGGUUAUAUAAGACAGAUGUGAAAUCCCCAGGCUCAACCUGGGACCUGCAUUUGUGACUGUAUAGCUAGAGUACGGUAGAGGGGGAUGGAAUUCCGCGUGUAGCAGUGAAAUGCGUAGAUAUGCGGAGGAACACCGAUGGCGAAGGCAAUCCCCUGGACCUGUACUGACGCUCAUGCACGAAAGCGUGGGGAGCAAACAGGAUUAGAUACCCCGGUAGUCCCUGUCUCUUAUAC